rnacentral:rRNA from 1 species
UGGGGAAUAUUGCACAAUGGGCGCAAGCCUGAUGCAGCCAUGUCGCGCGUAUGAAGAAGGCCUUCGGGUUGUAAACUACUUUCAGGCGGGAGGAAGGUGGUAAGGUUAAUAACCUUAUCAAUUGACGUUACCGACAGAAGAAGCACCGGCUAACUCCGGGCCAGCAGCCGCGGUAAUACGGAGGGUGCAAGCGUUAAUCGGAAUUACUGGGCGUAAAGCGCACGCAGGCGGUUGAUUGAGUCAGAUGUGAAAUCCCCGGGCUUAACCCGGGAAUUGCAUCUGAUACUGGUCAGCUAGAGGCUUGUAGAUGGGGUUAGAAUUCCAUGUGUAGCGGUGAAGUGCGUAGAGAUGUGGAGGAAUCCCGGUGGCGAAGGCGGCCACCUGGACAAAGACUAAAGCUCAGGUGCGAAGGCGUGGGGAGCAAGCAGG